rnacentral:rRNA from 1 species
AACGAACGCUGGCGGCAUGCCUAACACAUGCAAGUCGAACGAGACCUUCGGGUCUAGUGGCGCACGGGUGCGUAACGCGUGGGAAUCUGCCCUCAGGUACGGAAUAACUCAGGGAAACUUGAGCUAAUACCGUAUAAUGACUUCGGUCCAAAGAUUUAUCGCCUGAGGAUGAGCCCGCGUCGGGUCAGCUAGUUGGUGAGGUAAAGGCUCACCAAGGCGACGAUCCGUAGCUGGUCUGAGAGGAUGAUCAGCCACACUGGGACUGAGACACGGCCCAGACUCCUACGGGAGGCAGCAGUGGGGAAUAUUGGACAAUGGGCGCAAGCCUGAUCCAGCAAUGCCGCGUGAGUGAUGAAGGCCUUAGGGUUGUAAAGCUCUUUUACCCGGGAUGAUAAUGACAGUACCGGGAGAAUAAGCCCCGGCUAACUCCGUGCCAGCCGCCGCCGUAAGAC